AUGUGCAAAAAUUGAGGUAAAAAUAUACAAAAAAUGACUUACACGCAUCAAAAGUAUGAGAAGAAAUAAGGGCGAUGAUGUCAUUAAAAAAAUUUCAAGUUAUAGUGCUGCAGAGAUAUCAACCUUAAUUAGCAGUAGCAUUACUAGCCCCGGCCCGACAGGUGUCGUAAUACCAGUUUCGGCCAUGGGAGGCGGUAUGCGGGCAACAUAACCACAAGCCAACCUGCAAUACACUAAUAACUCGCACGGCUUGUGGGCGUACCUGAACCUGAUGUCAAUCAUGUGGAAAGUACAGCCCACUACUUCAUUUCACCCUUGGCAAGAGACCACCACCCGCUACAGGGAAACAACCGCGCUCGGAAUCACAAAUCAAAUCCGAUAAGAAAAGGAGCCGAACCAGAGUAAACAUCGGCACUGCUUUCAAUCGCUGGAGACAACUGAUGGACCUGAAAGAAAUGAGGUUCGACACCGAACUUGCAACAUUUCUUUUGGAUUGAUGCUGCAACAAGGUGGAGCUCAAAUUUUACAUUUUACACUCCGAAAUUGAUGCAGCAAUGGCAGAACACCUAAAGUAUUCUCCAGGAAGAGCUGGUGAGUGGUGGAUACAAGAAAUGAGUCAAAAAACUUUCACGC